UUAUUGUGGUUUAGGAAGUGG
rnacentral:piRNA from 1 species